GAUCCUGGCUCAGGAUGAACGCUGGCGGCGUGCCUAACACAUGCAAGUCGAACGAAGCGAUUUAACGGAAGUUUCGGAUGGAAGUUGAAUUGACUGAGUGGCGGACGGGUGAGUAACGCGUGGGUAACCUGCCUUGUACUGGGGGACAACAGUUAGAAAUGACUGCUAAUACCGCAUAAGCGCACAGUAUCGCAUGAUACAGUGUGAAAAACUCCGGUGGUACAAGAUGGACCCGCGU
rnacentral:rRNA from 1 species